CCAGAAAAGAUAUAAAAGUAAUCUUUGGUAUUCAACUUGUAAGGAUGUUCCAAGAACCAUUUAGUUGGAGAAGGAAAACUGUGCCGUUCAUUAACAAGUCCUGUGUUUAAUAAUAUAUUAAAAAAUGGAAGGACGUGAAGAAAACAGGUUUGUAAAUGAUGUUGUACAUCAUGCAGAUAGCUCAGAAGAAGAAGCAGGAAUGUUUGACUGGAAAUAUAAACGAUGUUGUACAUAAUGCAGAUAGCUUAGGCAUAAAAGAGAUUGGUGAAAUGGAGAAUGAGAUUAACUAGGGUGAAAAAAAAUGAAUAUUAAUAUGUGAAUGGUACUUUGUUUAACAUCUACCUGUUUCUACAGAUACAGUACAGACGCAUUUAUAAAUGGGCUUGAUGUUUUUUUGAAUUAAAUAUGUUGUAUUGAUGGUUCUUUUUAA
rnacentral:lncRNA from 1 species